rnacentral:rRNA from 1 species
CACGUAGGGUGCGAGCGUUGUCCGGAAUUAUUGGGCGUAAAGAGCUCGUAGGCGGUGUGUCGCGUCGGCCGUGAAAACCUGCAGCUUAACUGUGGGCUUGCGGUCGAUACGGGCAUCACUGGAGUUCGGCAGGGGAGACUGGAAUUCCUGGUGUAGCGGUGAAAUGCGCAGAUAUCAGGAGGAACACCGGUGGCGAAGGCGGGUCUCUGGGCCGAUACUGACGCUGGAGGAGCGAAAGCG